rnacentral:rRNA from 1 species
UACGUAGGGGGCAAGCGUUGUCCGGAAUCAUUGGGCGUAAAGCGCGUGUAGGCGGCUCGAUAAGUCCGUUCUGAAAGUCCAGGGCUCAACCCUGGGAUGCGGAUGGAUACUGUCGAGCUCGAGUCCGGAAGAGGCGAGUGGAAUUCCUGGUGUAGCGGUGAAAUGCGCAGAUAUCAGGAGGAACACCGAUGGCGAAGGCAGCUCGCUGGGACGGUACUGACGCUGAGGCGCGAAAGCGUGGGGAGCAAACAGG